rnacentral:rRNA from 1 species
CAUCGCCUCUUGAAUGAAUAUAAGAGGUCCAGCCUGCCCAGUGACAUAGUUCAACGGCCGCGGUACCCUAACCGUGCAAAGGUAGCAUAAUCACUUGUUCUUUAAAUAGGGACUCGUAUCAACGGCACCACGAGGGCUGUACUGUCUCCUUUCUCCAAUCAGUGAAACUGAUCUCCCCGUGAAGAAGCGGGGAUUAACCUAUAAGACGAGAAGACCCCAUGGAGCUUUAAACCCAGUAUACAUCCCUGCGCACCUAAAUCAGCACAGCCAAAGAGACUUGUAUUCUGGUUUUAGGUUGGGGGGACCGCGGAGUAAAAUUAAACCUCCACGACAGACGGGCUAACACCCUUAUCCAUGAGCCACAACUCUAAGAGCCAAUAAAUUGUUGUCUAAUGACCCAAUUACUUGAUUAACGAACCAAGUUACCCUGGGGAUAACAGCGCAAUCUACUUCAAGAGCCCCUAUCGACAAGUAGGUUUACGACCUCGAUGUUGGAUCAGGGUAUCCUAGUGGUGCAGCCGCUACUAAAGG